AACGCGUGAGAAUCUGCCUUCAGGUUGGGGACAACAGUUGGAAACGACUGCUAAUACCCAAUGUGCCGAGAGGUGAAAGCUUUAGUGCCUGAGGAUGAGCUCGCGUCUGAUUAGCUAGUUGGUGGAGUAAUGGUUCACCAAGGCGACGAUCAGUAGCUGGUCUGAGAGGAUGAUCAGCCACACUGGGACUGAGACACGGCCCAGACUCCUACGGGAGGCAGCAGUGGGGAAUUUUCCGCAAUGGGCGCAAGCCUGACGGAGCAAGACCGCGUGAGGGAGGAAGGCUCUUGGGUUGUAAACCUCUUUUAUCAGGGAAGAAGAUCUGACGGUACCUGAUGAAUCAGCAUCGGCUAACUCCGUGCCAGCAGCCGCGGUAAUACGGAGGAUGCAAGCGUUAUCCGGAUUUAUUGGGCGUAAAGCGUCCGCAGGUGGUUUUACAAGUCUGCUGUUAAAGCGCGAGGCUUAACCUCGUACAGGCAGUGGAAACUGUGAGACUAGAGUGUGGUAGGGGUAGCGGGAAUUCCCAGUGUAGCGGUGAAAUGCGUAGAUAUUGGGAAGAACACCAGCGGCGAAAGCGCGCUACUGGGCCAUCACUGACACUCAUGGACGAAAGCUAGGGGAGCGAAUGGGAUUAGAUACCC
rnacentral:rRNA from 2 species